CCGUUGUUUACGUAUGUGGCUAAUUCGAUUGGGAAUGUGGAUAAUGUUGCCAAGGUUACUAAUGAUCUCAAAGGGAUAGAAAUGAGUUUGUUGGAGGUGAAGCAUGGUUUGCUUCAGAUCGCGGAAUCCUUGGAUUUUCUUCAUAAUAAUGCACAUCUUAUUCAUCGAGCUAUAUCACCUGAGAAUGUCUUAAUUACAUCAAGUGGAGCUUAGAAGCUUGGUGGGUUUGGUUUUGCUAUCUCAAUGGAUGAGGUCUCUAGUGAUUCAACCACUGUGAAGGCCUUCCAUUAUUCUGAAUAUGAUAGUGAAGAUUCUGUCAUGCCUCUUCAGCCAUCAUUGAAUUAUACUGCACCUAAAUUGGUUCGAAGUAAAGCAUCUUCAGUUGGAUGGUCUUCUGACAUUUUCAGUUUUGGAUGCCUGGCCUACCAUUUAGUUGCUCGAAAGCCUUUGUUUAACUGCAACAACAAUGUCAAGAUGGCAUAUGUAUGGCUUUGUAUUGAUGUUGGCAAUGUUUCAAACAUGCAUAUGGAAAAAUGAAA